UGACCCAAACCCUCACCAGAGUAGCAAUUGGAGGGCAAGUCUGGUGCCAGCAGCCGCGGUAAUUCCAGCUCCAAUAGCGUAUAUUAAACUUGUUGCAGUUAAAAAGCUCGUAGUUGUAUUUUUGCGUUAGCGGUUUGACCAUUUGGUUGGUUAUUUCGUUUUCGCUUUUGGGAAUUUCCCUUUUUACUUUGAGAAAAUUAGAGUGUUUCAAGCAGACUUUUGUCUUGAAUACUUCAGCAUGGAAUAAUAGAGUAGGACUUUGGUUCUAUUUUGUUGGUUAUUGAACCUUAGUAAUGGUUAAUAGGAACGGUUGGGGGCAUUCGUAUUUAACUGUCAGAGGUGAAAUUCUUAGAUUUGUUAAAGACGAACUACUGCGAAAGCAUUUGCCAAGGACGUUUCCAUUAAUCAAGAACGAAAGUUAGGGG
rnacentral:rRNA from 1 species